rnacentral:rRNA from 1 species
CAAUAGCGUAUAUUUAAGUUGUUGCAGUUAAAAAGCUCGUAGUUGGAUUUCGGAUGGGAUUUGCCGGUCCGUCGUUACGAUGUGCACUGGCCAGUCCUAUCUUGUUGUCGGGGACUAGCUCCUUGGAUUCACUUCCUGGGACUAGGAGCUGACGAGGUUACUUUGAGCAAAUUAGAGUGUUCAAAGCAAGCCUACGCUCUGAAUACAUUAGCAUGGAAUAACACGAUAGGACUCUGGCUUAUCUUGUUGGUCUGUGAGACCAGAGUAAUGAUUAAGAGGGACAGUCGGGGACAUUCGUAUUUCAUUGUCAGAGGUGAAAUUCUUGGAUUUAUGAAAGACGAACUUCUGCGAAAGCAUUUGUCAAGGAUGUUUUCAUUAA